UGCCAAGCAACUCCUAUCGCUACCUCUUCGUGGUAUUGGCCGGAAACUACUGUCUUCCGGAAAGUAGG
rnacentral:ribozyme from 1 species